UGUGUGUGGUUCCUGACCUGAGGGUGUUUGUUUCCAGUAGUUUGGAUGAAACUCUCCGUAUCUGGAAUGAGAAGAAUCAGCUCAUCAGGACACUCCAGCUGAACGCAGUACCCGAAUGUUUGGAGUACAGUGGGUUCAGAGGAGAACUUUUCCUGGGUGUUAAGGGGGACCUGUGCAAGUUAAAUUGUACAAAAUUCCUACCACACAGCUACCAAGAAAUGGUUCCUAACACUUCCCAUGUUGCUCCGCCUCCUGAUU